UAUUCUCAAAGAAAAAGAAACACCGCAAGGAGAAAGAAUUUAUUCCGAGCCAUUUCACCUUAACAAGGAUGGCUCGGAUAUUCUCAAAGAAAAAACAAUACCGCAAGGAGGAAGAAUUUAUUCCGGGCCAUUUUACCUAAACAAGGAUCUUGGCUCGGAUAUUCCGACGAAGUAGCAUUUAUUCCAAUCAGUUGAUCCAACGAGCAAGGAGAAGUUAAACGUAAGAGGGG
rnacentral:lncRNA from 1 species